UUUGAAUACUGUACCGGUAGUCAGUAACUAGGUAUUUUCGAAACUGCUGAUUGCAACCAAAGUCACUCAUCUUAUAUGCUACAAAUUUGAAGGUGAUGGCACUUCCGACAACCAGGGGUAUUGAAAAAACCACACAAUCUUUUCGUUGAAGAGCUUAAAGUGAUGUCAAAAGAAGUUGAUAAGUGUCGGGAACUAUGAAGUGGAAGUAUGACUACUAAGAAAACAUUAACACGAUGAUUAUUUAACUCGCAUGAAGAUUGUGAAAGAGAUUCAUGAACACCAUGAAGUUUUGACUUUUUAUUCAUACACUUGUUAGUUUA